rnacentral:rRNA from 1 species
GAUGAACGCUGGCGGCGUGCCUAAUACAUGCAAGUCGAGCGAACAGAUGAGGAGCUUGCUCCUCUGACGUUAGCGGCGGACGGGUGAGUAACACGUGGAUAACCUACCUAUAAGACUGGGAUAACUUCGGGAAACCGGAGCUAAUACCGGAUAAUAUAUUGAACCGCAUGGUUCAAUAGUGAAAGACGGUUUUGCUGUCACUUAUAGAUGGAUCCGCGCCGCAUUAGCUAGUUGGUAAGGUAAAGGCUUACCAAGGCAACGAUGCGUAGCCGACCUGAGAGGGUGAUCGGCCACACUGGAACUGAGACACGGUCCAGACUCCUACGGGAGGCAGCAGUAGGGAAUCUUCCGCAAUGGGCGAAAGCCUGACGGAGCAACGCCGCGUGAGUGAUGAAGGUCUUCGGAUCGUAAAACGCUGUUAUGAGGGAAGAACAAAUGUGUAAGUAACUAUGCACGUCUUGACGGUACCUAAUCAGAAAGCCACGGCUAACUACGU